rnacentral:lncRNA from 1 species
CUUUCUACACCCGUCCCCACCACAAAGAGAGACUGGAUAUAGUUCCCUGUGGUGUAUAGUAGGAUAAAGACUACAUUUCCGAGGCACAUCCGCGUUCUCUGCCCUGGCAUCAUGAAUAUCUACCUCUGCGGCUCUUUUCUUCGCUUCAAUGAUAGACGGUGCCUGUCUUUUGAGAAUUGCCUGGGAACUCCAGAGCAGUCAAUGCAGCCACUUUCUGGAACAUUAUAUAACCAAAUAAAAGGAUCCAGCUCUUACGUUUAACUCUACGUACCAUGCAGAUGAAGACUGUUUCAUUUUGAAUUGUAUAUUCAGCACGUGGCUUGGUGCCUGGCACAAAGUAAGCUUUCAUUAAAUCUUUAUCAAAAUAGUG